AUGAACGCUGGCGGCGUGCCUAAUACCUGCCAGUCGAGCGAACGGACGAGAAGCUUGCUUCUCUGAUGUUAGCGGCGGACGGGUGAGUAACACGUGGAUAACCUACCUAUAAGACUGGGAUAACUUCGGGAAACCGGAGCUAAUACCGGAUGAUAUUUUGAACCGCAUGGUUCAAAAGUGAAAGACGGUCUUGCUGUCACUUAUAGAUGGAUCCGCGCUGCAUUAGCUAGUUGGUAAGGUAACGGCUUACCAAGGCAACGAUGCAUAGCCGACCUGAGAGGGGGAUCGGCCACACUGGAACUGAGACACGGUCCAGACUCCUACGGGAGGCAGCAGUAGGGAAUCUUCCGCAAUGGGCGAAAGCCUGACGGAGCAACGCCGCGUGAGUGAUGAAGGUCUUCGGAUCGUAAAACUCUGUUAUUAGGGAAGAACAUAUGUGUAAGUAACUGUGCACAUCUUGACGGUACCUAAUCAGAAAGCCACGGCUAACUACGUG
rnacentral:rRNA from 1 species